rnacentral:rRNA from 1 species
UAAGGAAUAUUGGACAAUGGGGGCAACCCUGAUCCAGCCAUGCCGCGUGAAGGAUGAAGGCCCUCUGGGUUGUAAACUUCUUUUGUACGGGAAUAAAUCCCUGCUCGUGAGCGGGGUUGAAUGUACUGUAAGAAUAAGGAUCGGCUAACUUCGUGCCAGCAGCCGCGGUAAUACGAAGGAUCCAAGCGUUAUCCGGAUUUAUUGGGUUUAAAGGGUGCGUAGGCGGGCUAUUAAGUCAGUGGUGAAAGCCUCUCGCUCAACGGGAGAAUUGCCAUUGAUACUGAUGGUCUUGAGUACACUUGAGGUGGGCGGAAUGUGUCAUGUAGCGGUGAAAUGCUUAGAUAUGACACAGAACACCGAUUGCGAAGGCAGCUCACUAAAUUGUAACUGACGCUGAGGCACGAAAGCGUGGGGAUCAAACAGGAUUAGAUACCCCGGUAGUCC